GACGAACGCUGGCGGCGUGCCUAAUACAUGCAAGUAGGACGCAGUUGCGAACGGGUGAUUAACGCGUAGGUAACUGCCUAUUAGAGAGGGAUAAAUAUUGGAAACGAUAGCUCAUACCGCAUACUAGUAGAUUGAACUGCGUUGUAUUAGCUAGUAGGUAGGGUAAUGGCCUACCUAGGCAACGAUACAUAGCCGGCCUGGGAGGGUGGUCGGGCAAAAUGGGGCCGAGACACGGGCCCGAAUCCUACGGGAGGCAACAGUAGGGGAUCUUCGGAAAUGGGGCGAAACCUGACCGAGCAAAGCCGCGGGAGGGAAGAAGGUUUUCGGAUCGUAAAGCUCUGUUGGUAAGAGAGCGGUACUUAACCAGAAAGCGACGGCUAACUACGUGCCAGCAGCCGCGGUAAUAC
rnacentral:rRNA from 1 species